UACGACUACAUAUCAGGCAUAUCAAUAAGCGGAGGAAAAGAAACUAACAAGGAUUCCCUUAGUAACGGCGAGUGAAGCGGGAAGAGCUCAAAUUUGAAAUCUUCAAGGUUUUACCUUGACGAAUUGUAGUUUAAAGAAGUGUUUUCUGUUGAAGUUUUGGUAAAAGUUCUUUGGAAUAGGACAUCAUAGAGGGUGAGAAUCCCGUAUUUGACCAUUAUUUUCAGCUGUGUGAUACACUUUCAAAGAGUCGGAUUGUUUGGGAAUGCAGUCCAAAAUGGGUGGUAAAUUUCAUCUAAAGCUAAAUAUUGGCGAUGAGACCGAUAGCGAACAAGUACCGUGAGGGAAAGAUGAAAAGAACUUUGAAAAGAGAGUUAAACAGUACGUGAAAUUGUCAAAAGGGAAGCGUUUGACACCAGUGUUGUUUUCUCGAAAAUCAAUUAAAAAAAGUUGGAUUUUGUGUUGUAUUGACCUUAACAGCUUGCUUCACUCUUUUCCAGCUUUUUUUAAUGCACUUUUCGUUUAACAAGUCAACAUCAGUUUCUUUUGUUGUAAAAGGGUCAUUGGAAGGUGGCUUUCUCUUCGGAGAAAGUGUUUAUAGCCUUUGAUCUCUGCAAUCGGAGAGACUGAGGUCUGCAGCGUAGAUCCUUCGGGGUUAGAUACAUUUGUGCUAAGCUACAGCUUUUCAUAGACAACUUGUUGACUAUGUUUAGUCUUGUGACUUACCCGCUUAUGCUAUUUUACCUACGCUUAGGAUGUUGAGCGCAUGUCUCUCUCU
rnacentral:rRNA from 1 species